CCUACAGCCAGAGCUAGGGCUGGAAACAUUGCCGUUUGAGUUCCCUCGCCAGAAAUCCCCAAGCUUGCAGGAAGGGAUAUAGUCAUUAGUCCUCAAUGGGAAUAUGACCUUUCCCUUUAAGUAUCUGUGUGAUGCUUUUGAUCCUUUUGACUCUCUCUAAGGGAUAGAUUGAAUAUGUGGCACAAUGUCUACUCCUGAGUGAGGAUUAAGCCUGGCUUUUGGAAGCAGAACUAUAUUGCCUAACCCAUCAUCAUUUAUCACGCUCUCUGGGGACCUGUUGUCCAUUUUUCUUCCCCUCCCCCUAUACUUUUAGAAAAUCCCCUUCUCUGGGGUUUAAUAUUGAUUUCAGCUGCAUCGGCCUUGGCUUCCCUGUAGUUACUUCUGAUUUUACACUUAAACAGGUCUUAUGUCUCAGAUAUCUUGUUAAACAAAGUGCUAUUCUGAGGCUCAGCCCUUGUGCAACCUGCACUCCUCUUAACACAUUUCUGUGCAUGCAUUUUAAUAAUAAACACUCUUAAAAUGAGUUAUAGGUUUGUAUCACCCUGUAUUUCAAUGGAAUUCCCUGAGGAUAAACCUUGCCCUAUAAUACUUGUAUUCUGAUUUAGUGAAGCAGUGAAGCAUGUGAUUACCUUCAGGACUUGUGUAAAUCCCAUUAACUUCAAUUAAGCCCAAGAACAUGCUUUAGUGCUUCACUGAACAGGGAUGCUUAAGGCUAACACGCACGUAAAUAUUUUUGCUGAAUCAAGUCUUAGUGUUUUAUCCAUUUUUGUUCCCAUUUCUCUUCUGCUCUGUCUGAUGAUGUAACAAUUUUUGUCUUGUAGUAUCCUUGCAUGCUGCUUCCAAGUUAGAAGCUACAGAGGGACAGAAGGUCUUAUUCAGGGGAGGAUAAAAUUAAUCCGUUCUGCACCUGUGAACCAGAGAAGUCCCAGCAAGCUUCCCAGUAAAAUGAAAAAGUGAUGAUAAUGCUGGGAAUAUAUGAACAAGGAGUUUUGGAACUGCAGGGUGGCGUUUCUGCUCAAAAUCACAGAGCCAUAUGUUACCUUCGGAUUUUCUCUUUGGAAGCAGCCUCGUUGCAAAGUGCAGCUCUGCUUCAUUUAGACUCCAUGUAAGUACUCUUAAAGUUGUGUGUGCUGGAAGGAGCUUCUGGAGUCUGUGUAGUCUGUCCUACUCCUCAGAUUAAGUCCAGUUACACCGAGCUGCUCAGUGCCUGGUCCAGUCACGUUCUGGGUGUCACCAAGGAUGGAGAAUUCAUGGACAUUCUGGGUAACCACUGUAAUGGUAAAUGCUUUUUUCCUAUAUCUAGUCAAAAUUUCUUGUGUUCCAACUUGCGUCUAUUGGUUCUUGUCCUCAGCCUGUACACCUCUGAGUCACAGUGUCUUGUGAGAGACUAACCAGGUCACCAUUCUGGAUACCUGUGAUUUUUACAGAGUGAUUGCUUUUACUAUAGCCUUGAACGUAGAUGUAAUGUUUGAAUGAUCUCUUCUUGUGUAAUUACAAUUCCUACAUCAAGUUCUAGUGUUAUUCUUUGAAAUGAGGCUUUUAAGAGAGAAUAAACAUGUUGCAUAGUGACUUGAAUUUAAGGAAUACAGGUUGUUUUGAAUAUUAACGAAGUCUGGCUCCUUGAAUUUGUAUUUUAUGUUCACUUCCUUCCUUGCAAGUUUUUGAGGAGAACUGACAGGCAGGUUGAAUAGACAGAUAGAUAGGCAAACAGCACUAUUACAGAUGGUUUAUUUUUGGAAAAUCAAACUAAAAUAUUGAUUUUGCUUUUAAAAAUAUACAAAUUUAAGUCCAUUUACCAAUAAA